rnacentral:rRNA from 1 species
AACGAACGCUGGCGGCAUGCCUAACACAUGCAAGUCGAACGAGACCUUCGGGUCUAGUGGCGCACGGGUGCGUAACGCGUGGGAACCUGCCCUUAGGUUCGGAAUAACUCCCCGAAAGGGGUGCUAAUACCGGAUAAUGUCUUCGGACCAAAGAUUUAUCGCCUUUGGAUGGGCCCGCGUUGGAUUAGCUAGUUGGUAGGGUAAAAGCCUACCAAGGCGACGAUCCAUAGCUGGUCUGAGAGGAUGAUCAGCCACACUGGGACUGAGACACGGCCCAGACUCCUACGGGAAGCAGCAGUGGGGAAUAUUGGACAAUGGGCGAAAGCCUGAUCCAGCAAUGCCGCGUGAGUGAUGAAGGUCUUAGGGUUGUAAAGCUCUUUUACCCGGGAUGAUAUUGACAGUACCGGGAGAAUAAGCCCCGGCUAACUCCGUG